UUUAUUAGUUAUUUAGAUAGUUUUCCAUAAUUGUCAAUUUUUGGGUUAAUUUAUGAUUUUGUUUUUUUUAUAGGUACAAUGAUAUUUUUUAGGGACUAAAAAGAAAUUAUGCCAAUGAGGAGUGAUUCCUAUAGCCAAAGAUAUCAAAAACAAAGCUUGGAAGUUGAAAAAUGCAAAGUGGCCAAAAACUACAUAACUUAUAUAGUCUCGCACUCUGCUUAUGCAGCUUCAGGGAGAAAGCCCUUAAACCUGUCGAAAACUGCAUUAGCUACUGCAUAACUUAUGUAGUCUCAUGCCUCACUUAUGCAACAUCACGGGAAGCACCUGGAAUCACCAAAUUUGCUCAGAAUCUACAUAGGAAGCUUGCACAACUUAUG
rnacentral:misc_RNA from 1 species